UACGAAGGGGGCUAGCGUUGCUCGGAUUUACUGGGCGUAAAGCGCACGUAGGCGGAUCGUUAAGUCGGGGGUGAAAUCCUGGAGCUCAACUCCAGAACUGCCUUCGAUACUGGCGAUCUAGAGUCCGGAAGAGGUGAGUGGAACUCCUAGUGUAGAGGUGGAAUUCGUAGAUAUUAGGAAGAACACCAGUGGCGAAGGCGGCUCACUGGUCCGGUACUGGACGCUGAGGUGCGAAAGCGUGGGGAGCAAACAGGGGAUUAA
rnacentral:rRNA from 1 species